AACGAACGCUGGCGGCAGGCUUAACACAUGCAAGUCGAACGCAUCGCAAGAUGAGUGGCAGACGGGUGAGUAACGCGUGGGAACAUACCCUUUUCUACGGAAUAGCUCUGGGGAACUGGAAUUAAUACCGUAUACGCCCUACGGGGGAAAGAUUUAUCGGGGAAGGAUUGGCCCGCGUUGGAUUAGCUAGUUGGUGGGGUAAAGGCCUACCAAGGCGACGAUCCAUAGCUGGUCUGAGAGGAUGAUCAGCCACGUUGGGACUGAGACACGGCCCAAACUCCUACGGGAGGCAGCAGUGGGGAAUAUUGGACAAUGGGCGCAAGCCUGAUCCAGCCAUGCCGCGUGAGUGAUGAAGGCCUUAGGGUUGUAAAGCUCUUUCACCGAUGAAGAUAAUGACGGUAGUCGGAGAAGAAGCCCCGGCUAACUUCGUGCCAGCAGCCGCGGUAACAC
rnacentral:rRNA from 1 species